UACGAAGGGUGCGAGCGUUGUUCGGAAUUACUGGGCGUAAAGGGUUUGUAGGCUGAAAUGUAAGUCAAGUGUGAAAUCCCCGAGCUAAACUUGGGACGUGCAUUUGAAACUGUGUUUCUUGAGUAUCGUAGAGGGUGGUGGAAUUGUAGGUGUAGGAGUGACAUCCGUAGAGAUCUGCAGGAACAUCAGAGGCGAAGGCGACCACCUGGCCGAUUACUGAACGCUGAGGGAACGGAAA
rnacentral:rRNA from 1 species